CCAAGCCCUGGCUUUCCAUAUCAAAGUAUUCUGAGUGUGAAUGUUUGCUUGUGGCGUAUUUCUUUAUAAGUUUAAUGUAUAUUAUUUUGGACAAUCGAAUGAGCUCCAGUACAUUUUAAAUAAAUCUGCCUUUGACAGGCGCGCCUGCCUGUACAGGAAAUUUCUUUGAACAGGCUAUACCACACAGGAGGGGUAAACGACAACACAGACGACGGAGGCGGGCUGCAGCCAGACUCUUUUGGAGCGUGGGUGAGCGAGGUAACUCAAACCAGCCGAAGUUUGUUUGAACACGUUGGGAACAACAGCACAGACGACGUGCCUCGCAACUAAAUCGACAUUUUUCGACGCACCAAGACUUGGUGACGUUCAACCUGGAGCGACGAGUGAAAAACUCGGAUGAAGAACGCUGUGCCUCUUAGAGAAAUAUCACCUGAAACGUGCAGUGUUUCUUGCAUUGUGAGGCCAUUCAACGCUAGUAGCUUUUCCAUCACUUUGAGCAGAGAGGAUGGACUCAGUGCUUGGAAAGGCACAGGCAUCUGUGAGGGAAGAGCAGGAUAAGAGAGGUGGCAGUAAUCCAGGAGGGUUUUCUCUUGAAAAGCUGUGGGAGAUUGUGAAACGUGUCGUCAAAGCAUCCCUCACCGGCGCAUGUUACGGAGCCAUUUUUGGCGCUGGUGUGGGUGCCAUUGCGGCCCCAAUCGGGGGGAUUAAAUGUUUGGGUGUGGGAUCAGCCGUGGGUGGAUUUGUUGGCGGCGUGAAAGGUGGUGUUGCUGGUAUUGAGGCCAGGAGUGAGGAUGAGGCUGAACGCAACGCUCGUGAGGAAGUCAUUAAGGUCGGAGUUUCCAUUAUGAAAACAGCUAAAGCUGUGUUUGCUUAUGUAGAUUUAACACCAGAAUGCACAGCAGAGGCCAAGUCGACCUUUCCCAAGGCAAAUACUCAUGUUCAAGAAUACUCUUGGACUUUGAGUGGCAGGGGAAAAUUUUAGCCGGUUCCGGCAUCUCUUGAUUAUGGCCUCCCUGUGUUCCGGGACUUAUUUUGGCAGAUUUAGCACCUCUCGUGCAAAGAAAAUAAUAAUAAUAUAAAAACGUUUUUAAAAAAUAUAUUCUAAUAGCCCCGAAUGGAGGGAAAAAAGGAGAGGAGUCGUUGAUGGCUUUCUCCACUUUAUUGUGGCAACAAUAAGAAAACAAUAAACAAAAUAAUAGCGGACUGCCGCCACAUUCGACCGCGAACUUUUGCUUCUCGCUCAUCUCCCCUUCGCCUCCUACUACACACAGCUCUCCAGUCCCAGCUUCUCUUAAACGGAUCGUGCAUAGUGUCUUGUUAUGAGAUGUGACAUAUUUAUGUCACACUGCUGUUGUCAUAGUGUGCACUUCCUGUGGGCGUGGUAUUACAGUAUAAAAAGGAAUCUCUGUUAUGUCUCUGAUAUACAGUAUAUGAUGAGAAGGACACUGAAUAAAGAAGUGUUGUUCCAUUCAAGUCUCGGCCUUACAUGUACUUAGAUCAGGGUAGUACAUAACAAAAGUCAACAAAUCACGCCCCUGACAUUAAAGGGGAAAAAAAAAAACUUGAAAUUUGCAGCAUCUUGGAAGCAAGCAGCCAGGAUCAAACGUUAUUUCAACAUGCCAAAAAGACAGUUGCAUUUACUGUCUUUUUUCAAAAAGAAGGAAGAUGGUUCAAAACGAGUCAGAAAAGCACGUAGAAAAGAAAGAAAAAAAGAAAAGGCCCACAGCAUAGCAAGUGGGCAUUUGUGUUUUGUUUUCCGCACCAUUUUCUGCAUAUUGUAAUGUCCUCAACUGUGUUCGGGCUUGUGAAGGGGUCAUCGGACAGCAGAGCGGUGACGUAGCGGGAAGUGAGAAAAGUACGGCGUGAGAGCGAAGUUGGUGUCGCAUGUUGCAGCAGUCCGCUGUUAUUUUUGUUAUUUGUUAUUUAACUGUUGCCAAAAUAAAGUGAAGGAAGCCAUCAUUCACUCCUCUCCUUUCUAUUUCCCCAUUUGGGCUAUUACAAUAUGUCCCGGGACGUGUCCCCGUCCCAUCAUCCCUGCGCUCUCAUAUGUACUUUGCGUUCCGGCACCUUAUUAUUUACAAAUUAAGCACCGUCUAGUGGUAAUACGUUGAUGACAGUGCAAGCACAAAAGACCUGUUAAAAUAGCUUGGAAAAAGGAGUACCGGUACAUGUAUUCACACAUGUGAUGGUAUAGGGCACGCUAUUUGUUAGCGUCUGCAAAUGCGGAAGCAAGAAUGGACCUUGUAGAUAUAUAUUUCCGUAUAUCCACAUAACCAUAUAUUUAACCAGCCAUAUAACCUUUUUCAAUAUUCAGUCACUCUUCGUUCUCAUAACAGUGUAUUUUAUCAACUGGGCGAACAUCUGCUCUUAGUACUACUUUGUGCUAAUCAAGGUCGUGCAGGGAGUUCACAUUUCCCUUAGUUAAAAGCCUGUUAUGUCUGUCCACCGUUUUAUCUAUGAGGCAGCACUUGGUCACCUCCGGGAUUUCUUCACUGUAAUAUAGACGGUAUGAUCUCCAGGGUCGAGAGACUUCUACUCGAGACGCCUCAGUAGAUUCUCCUGGCGAGCCAGCAUCUUUCCUCAAAAAAGAUGUACACUUGGUAUUUUCUUAUUGUUCCUGAAUGGUGUGUCGUCAUCUCCUGUUCGUUAAGAGAAUUAAAGAACCUGUAAAAAGGAUAAAUCGUCUUUCUUUUCCUUCAAGGAGACUACAAGCGGGGGAUGAGUACGAGGGUUUAUUAACUACAAACAAAACAACAACAAGCGAUCGCUGAAAAGUAGAAACAAAAAAAGGGGUCCGUGACAGCAGGUCGACGGGGCUGCAUAAUACACACUCGAGGGUAAGCUAAGAUUGCCUGGCACGGCCAGAGUGUUCUCCUUGUAUUUUUCAAACACUGGGAGAAGUCUGGGACCCAGCCCAUUAACGGCCUCUCGAGCAGGUACAAAAUCAAUCGACAAAUCAGAUUCGUUUAUUUGCGUGACGUGUUCUUAACGAGCAACGUCACUCUUGCGCAUCAAAAGUCGUCUCCACAACAAAACAGAUGGUGAACAGGAGAGCCGAGAAUAUGUUCCAAUCCACGGUAAAAUCAGUUUUAAAUUACCAAAAACACAUCGACAUGAGUCAUUGACUCUGUCUAGCGCUAGCCAUGUUGAAUGAACUCCGCUCUCGUAUGUUUACUUCCGCGCGCAAGUCCCUCGUCCUGCAGUCGUCGUUUUACUAACGUCAUGUCUGCCCGUCGCUGAUUGGUCCACUCCGCUGUCUGUUUGCUGUGGCUUGCUCCGCCCUGGAAAUUGUAUCCGCUGAAUGGUGGCCAGACUCAAUAGCUGGAACAGCGGUGAGUCUGGUGUACCAGGCAAAAGCUAAGACGAUAGGAAGAAAUAAGGCAAAAUAAAACACUCAAAUACUUGCACACGGUAGAGAUUUACAAACAAGAGCAGCACACGAACAAAAAAAAAAAACCCAAAGCAGGGGCGUAACAAGCAAAUGUAGUGACAUCAUAGUAUGAGAUGUCAAAUGGCGAUCAGCAAGACAAUAUCUCGGCAGCCGUCUUUUAGAUCACCCAUGUUUAAAUGCCGUGUUGUUGAGCCGGAUGCAGGUGCGACGUCGGGAACGCCCCCACAACCAGCAACAGAACGUGAGACUAUUUUCGAUUAUGCUAGUAUAUACUUUCUUCACCUCAGUAAAUAGAAUAAUCAUUAACAUACGGCAUUAUGUUGUUUUUUUUUUUUUUUCCUGAUUAUGUCUUUAUGCUGGUCCAUCAAAACAAAUCUUUUCCUAAAACCAUUCAGGUGAACGAAGUUUGAGUUUUCCUUUGUUGUAUUGAUUAAGAUGUUAACUUUAUUGUUACGAUCAAGUCAUUCUCUAGAUUAUUUUACAACUACGUGGGAUUUGCUCAAGACUGUAUUCAAAUUGCCUAAUUUUUGUAAUGAAUUGUACUAUAUUACAAAAUAUCAAAUAAAUUCUUUUUGGAUGAAUGGUCAAUGGAGUUACACUUGCAAAGCACCUUUCCACCUUUAAGGCCCUCAAAGCACUUUACACUGUAUCCUCACCAACCGACUGGUAACGCAGCACCAGGAGAAAUACAUGAGGAUCAGUAUCUUGUUGAAGGAUAUUUAGAUGAGUUUAUUGGGGGGGGGGAAAUUAAACCCACAACCUCUGGGUUGGGGGACAACUACACUACCACUGAGCUACACCAUCCCCUUAAAAGUUGAAGACAUCUGGACCUCUCACCGCUUAUCCUCACAAGGGCUGCAGUGCUACUGGAGCCUAUUCCAGCUAACUAUGAAAAGUAAGCAGGGUACACCCGCAAUCAGUUUCCAGCCAAUCACAGGGCCCAAGGGCACGGACAACCAUUCACACACACUCAUACCCAGGGACAGUUUGUAGUGUUCAGUCAGCCUACCGACCAUAUUUUAGUGAUGUGGGAGGAAACCAGAGUACCCUGAAAAACCCACCCAGGCACGGUAAUAGGAUGCAAACUCCACACAGGGAAGACUGGAGCCCGACAUUUGAACUCUUGGUCUCAGAAAUGUGAGGCGGACGUACAAACCACACUUCCACCGUGCUGCAAAUUCCUUUUUGUUAAAAGAUAUUAGCAUCCAAAUUAGUAUUGCUGGUCACCCCCCCGUCUCAAAUUAGGGUUGUAUUAAAUUCAAAAGGCAUUCCAUUCAGUCAAACAACUUUUGUUUGACAUAAUGAGCAGUCAUGAUGUAAUUUUAAGGCGAAAGAGGACUGCGAUUUAAAUUUCCAAUAAAUUAUUCAUUUCUAUUUAUGAACCAGAAUUAUCAAUGUGUUAAAUUUGGCAGUCGCGCUUCUCUACUUGUCAAGUUUUCUCUAUAGAUCAUGGGUGAGCAAACCACUCCUUAAAGGCCCGCAGUGGGUCCUUGUCCUUGUUCCAACCAAUCUAAAGCAGCACCGACAGUUAAACCAAUGAGGCUUCUUCAGAAACAAGAAGUACCUGCCUGCAAUCAAGUGAUUGCAGUUUCUGAUUUAUUAUGUAUAGAGUUGUCUGAUAAUGACCUUUUAACCAUUAACCGAUAGCCCGAUGUUGUCCAACUCCCAAAAAACUAUACCGAUAUAUUCAAUUCAAUUUCAAUUCAAUUUAUUCACACACACAUUCAUAUUUACAAAGUGUACAUCUAAUCACAGUGCUGAGCCAAGAUUAUGUGUGAGUCAGGUCUCCUUAAGAAGCUACUAAAAGCUUAUAGUCAGGAGCCUGCAUACAUCAAGACAAUCACAAGAAACAUUAUCAGAUCAUUAUCAGAUGAGCCGAAGGGUGAGUUGCAGUUUUUUACAGUGUUCUCAUCCAAAAACAUACUAAUGUACAGUAACUCGAUAUAUACACACGCCCACCCACACACACUCAGAGAAAAAUAAAUACUUCCCUAGAAGACAAUUUAUAACCUAAGUAUGUUGGAAUUGUUAUAUUUACUGAUCAGAAUACUUUUUAGCAUCGUUUUAAAGGUGGAGAUGGAUUUCAACACUUAGAUUUUCGUCGAGCUCAUUCCAAAUCUGUGGGCCUCUAGUUGCAAUGCUCAGGCUUGUGCUAACAAGUCUUUCUUUUUUCCACUGAUGAGGUCUUUGUUUCUGGUGUUAUGAGUAUGGAGAGGAGUCCAGACUGGAAUGAGCUCAGACAGUCUGCUAUUCAUAUUAUUUUCAAUUUGGAACAUUGUACAUGCGUUAUGAAAUGUGUUCAAAUCAGUGAGUCGGAGAAGGCGUAAACUAUAAAACAAGGAGUAGGUGGGAGCAUUGAGAUUAGCCCAGGACAUGGCCCGUACCAUCUUUUGUAGAGUUUCUAAUUUCGUUAGCUGACUGGGGAACGCGUUGCACCAUAUUAUGUUACAGUAGUUGAUAUGGGGCUCAAACAAGGUAAGAAGUGCGGUUAAAGGGAGAUGGUGUCUUAUUUUGAAGAAUAGUCCAACAUAUUUGGAUAGUGUAGAUAUAAGGUGUUCUAUAUGGCAUUUGAAGUUGAGAGACUUAUCAAUGAAGACUCCAAGGAACUUUGUGGAAUAUGCAGUCAUGCACUUUACAUAUUAUUGCUAAUUCUAUUGUGAUGACCCACUGGAAUCUUUAAUAAUGUCACAACUUCAAGGUUUUACAAAUAAACAUUGUAUGAAAAAUACCACAACUUCAACUGACGUUAUAGAAAAAGUGCCAAAAUAAUGCUCCAUAUAAAUAAAAUAAAUUGAAAUGAGCCAAAAUAUCUGUAAUUAAAUAAAAGGAAUAAUUCGCAAAUGAUGUUUACACUAGAAACUCCAAAGAGCCACUAGGACAGACAUGUCCAAAGUGCGGCCCGGGGCCAAAUGCGGCCCGUGGUCAAAUUUCAUCUGGCCCCCAGCCUCUGUCAUAAAGUCAAUAACAUCUGGCCCGCACACAGACUUAAUAAAUUGGUCAGCAGUACUACUACCAGCAUAUGAAGUAGCUUACACACUAAAUGCUGCUCCUCAUUUACCCACUAAAAGGCAGCAGCACUCUAAGCAACAUAACCCCAUGUGACCCUUUACUCCCAAUUUUCUAAAAUGGUGACAAUAAACAAGAAAGUUGACUGCGACGUCAGACGCUUCAAGGAUAGGUGGAAAUUGGACUAUUUCUUCACUAAAAUAUGCAACAACUUUGUCUGCCUCAUUUGCAACGAGACAGUCGCUGUUUUUAAAGAGUUCAAUGUGAAGCGAUAUUACCAAACAAGACAUGCUGACAUGUACGACAAGAUUACAGGGAAGAUACGUAGCGAGAAAUUGAGGCUAGGUUAAUUUUACAGCAGCAGUAUUUCGCAAGAGCCCGAGAGUCGAAAGAGAACGCCACAAAGGCUAGUUGCGAGAUUGAUGAAAUUAUUAAUUAGAAAAUAUAAUAAAGCAAAUGUGACGCACAGAAUGGCUUGCUAAAAUUUGCUUUAAUAUAUUGUUCUAUGUGAAGGACGUCAGCCAAAGUCGGCCCCCACAUUUUUACCUAACACAAUUUGGCCCCCUUUGCAAAAAGUUUGGACACCCCUGCACUAGGGGGUGAAAAACCAUUACAAAUAAAAGCAGACAUUCUCAAUAAUCAUAGGACAUGCCAAAGCAAUGACAAUUCCAAAGUUGCAUUUUGCUGGGCUUUUGUACAUUUUUUUUAGUUAUGUGUUUUAUUACUUUUAUUUACUUUCUUUCUGGUGACUCGGUAGUGAUAUGUGAUAAGUUUAUAAUUCAUUAUUUUUUCAUUUAUAGUUCAAUUUAAAUGUGCACCAUGAGUGAUUAGGGUCUUUUCUUGGCUUAAAAAAUCUCAAGAAAUUUGGCUGUGACUAUUUGCAUUUCAACGACUUGAAACCCAGUUAACAUCCUGGUGUAAAAUGUUGUUAUUUCUAGCUACAACAGUGCUGUUUUCUCAUUGGUCAAUCACAGCUGGUCUGCUGACAACAAUACACUUGUCACUCCAAGUUCUCCAAGUUGAACUUAACCCUUUAACACCGAACGUGUCGGCAGCGACGCGUUUACGCAUAUCGUCUUUGAAGCUCCGUCACGCUGUAAUUACGUCACCCACGUGCCGCUGGUUGGUCUCAUUUGAAAGUGGGGAAGUUGAUGUCCACACCAGUUUUUAUUUGAAGUCAAUCGACCAAGAAAAACGGGAGAUAAUGUCAUUUGAGAUUUAUAGUUUUAUUGCACUCAUAAAUAGGCAUUCAAACGCUGCAUGGACCAUGUAUCUGUAACAAAAAGCAGGUUAGAUGCGCCCCUGGAAUGCAGUGAAUGGAGACUGGAGAAGUGCUUUGCUUUAUCCACACAAAGUCAUUUAUUAAAAAAAAGUCAAGAGAAAAAUAAUUUAAAAAAAAAAAAAAAAGGGGCGCGUGGAUCGUGGCUUGGACAGGCUAUGUGUGUGGUUUGGACCAGCCCCCCCGGUCGGUCGGCACUGCUUUUGGGCACAGCACUGCAAUCCAAAACACUUCAAACAAAAGUUCACGCAAGCAGGCUUUAGAGGCGCUCGAGGAUUUAGCCCACAACUUCACACUGCGGCCACUUAUGGAUAGCCAGGAGCCACCCCAAAACCUUUUUAAAAAAACAGUUAAGAGCAGUCACUUAAAACAGUGUAUAAAAUGAAAACUUUUCGCUCACCCCCCUGCAAAAAAAUGUGCCGUUCGUGCUUGCUGGCGCUUUUUUUUCUUUGCGGCCAGUCUGGGAUUGUCUUUAAAGGCAGGGGGGGUUCAGGAGAUCUCUCGUGCCAUCGAUCGAUGUUGUGGCCGACGGUGGCGUGUGCGGGGGCGUUUUCACGUCGCGAUGUGCACCUCCACCCCUGGCAGGUGCAGACAACAGUGGGUUAAUCGGCGUUGUAUUUGGCUGACCUGGGUUCGUUGCUCUCGUUUUGCGCGGCGUGAUGUCAAGCUUUUUCCUCAAUGUUGCGUGCGGGCCAGUCCUCCCUUCUCUUCCUUUCUCUCACUCGUGUCUUCUGGCUGAGGCGUAUUUAUGUCCCCUUCACAUUCCUCCCCACCAAUCCGCAUCGCAUGGCACUGAUUGAGCGUGAUCGGGAACACCUGGGGGGAAAGACUGCAUACACGUUCGCCGGCCACGCCCACCCGCUCUCGGCUGUCAGCCCGCUGCCUCCAUCGUUACAUUUUCCUCCCCCCUUUUCGCGUGCUCAUCCCGGGCACGCCAGACCAUUACUCCCGGUACCGCGCUGGUAUAAUACCGCGGUUAGAGCGUUCUGGGUACCUCCGGGGGACUGCUGGUUCCACCCCUGCGUUGUGCUCCGGAUCCUCCCGGGCAGCUGGAGGCUGUACCGGUGGGAUAGGAAUAACCCAACCGCAUGGCCAAGGUGGCCGCUGUUGAAUGCGUUGAGCACUGCCCUGCCUGCCCGGUAAAGGGUCGAGGGUAGGGCCGCCUGGUGGGAAGUCCCCUGGGCAUGGCCUCAAGUUGUUGCGAUUGAUGGUUCGGCUAGGCCCUUCUUUACCCUCGAGCCGUAUGGUAAAAACUGGACAACCCGGAAGCUGGGAGAUCACCACAAAGGGUGUCGGGACCCAUCGGGGGGCAAUUUUCCCCCCAGCCCGACGACGGAAAUUCCUUAGCAACACUCUCUCCCCUGGUAGCAAGGGCAGGCUGCGGGCGUGCCUGUUGUAGUUCUCCUGGUUCCUGUGGUUAGAGCGCUCGACGUUGUUACGUACCGUGGCAUAUGCUUGCAGGAGCGUUUGGUGAUGCGCUUUGACCCACCCAUCCAGGCUGUUCUCUUUCCGAGGUGGCACAACCCCAUAGAGCAUGUCCAAUGGCAGCCGGGCGUGCCAACCAUGGACUACAUAAUGGGGCGUCAUCCCUGUGCUUGCGUGAGUAGUGUUGUUAUAUGCAUGCACAAGGGCAGGUAAGUGAGUCGGCCACUGGGCUUGGUGUUGGAUGCUUAUCGUGUUCAGCAUCGUGAGAAGCGUGCGAUUGAACCUUUCACAGGCCCCAUUGCCCUGUUGAUGGUAGGGGGUCGUUCUCACCUUCCGGCAGCCAUACAUCUCGCAGAGCUGCUGCAUGACGGCAGACUCAAAUGCAGGUCCUUGGUCCGUGAGAAUGCGCUCUGGGCAGCUGAACCGGUUAAUGAGAGCACUCCAAAGGGCUUGUACCGUUGUGGCAGCGGUCUGAUCUUUGGUGGGAACCGCCACUGCAUAGCGAGAAAAUAGGUCUGUGAUGACAAGAAUAUACUGGUAAGCGUCUGCAGGCCUCCCAAGAGUCAAGUAAUCUAGUGCCACAGUCUCAAAGGGGUAAUUGGAGGAGAUGGAACACAGAGGGGCCCUUGGCUGGCUCCAGUCUUUGCCACCACACACGUUGUGCACUCUGCUGUCCAUGCCCUGGCGUCUUUACUCAUACCCACCCAGAAGAAUCUCCUCCUUAACAGCGACAUCAUCCUUACGCUACUUGGGUGGCCUGCGGCCUUGUGGUAAUCCUCCCACAGUGCACGGGCCUGCAACUCUGGGAUGACGAUCUGGUUUGCCCAGGCUACAGUGUCCGGUUCGGUCACACGUCUCACCAAUGUCCCACUGUACAGUUCUAAAUGGGGCCAUUCUCUGAGCAAGCCACGGAGCUGAGGGGACAAAGCAGAGUGAUCAAUGUUUGCAGGGGGCUCACCUCUUACUCUCCAAGCAUGGAGAAGCUGUAAAUCAGGAUCUCUCCUCUGCUUCUCACCCCAUGACUCGGAUUCCGACGGCUCCGUGAGCAUAGUCGUCACGGUGGUCUGCCCGAUAGCCCCUGCAGUCUCCCCGGGUAGACGGGACAGGACGUCGGCAUUCUGGUUCUUUGUCCCUGGACGGUACCGAAUCUCGUAUGAAAAAUUGGCCAACUGAGCAGCCCACCGCUGUUCAGUUGCUCCCAACUUCGCCGUUUCCAGGUGAACCAAGGGAUUGUUGUCGGUGAACACCAUGACGUGGGCCCCCCAUAGAUAGUCUUUGAAUUUCUCUGUAAUAGCCCACUUUAAUGCCAGCAGCUCCAACUUAAAAGAACUGUAAUUUUAGUCAUUGCGUUCGGCGGGGUGGAGGCUGCGGCUGGCAUAUGCAAUGACCCUCUCUUUCCCGUCUUGGACUUGAGCCAGGACAGCCCCAAGGCCAUCCAAGCUCGCAUCUGUAUACAACCGGAAUGGGAGGUGGAAAUCUGCGUAGCCGAGGAUGGGGGCGCUGAGGAGGGCCCGUUUCAAUUUGUCGAAAGCCUCCUGGCACUGGGUGGUCCAAUCGAUGGGGGCUGAGGGCCUGUUGGCUUGGCCCUGGAGUAACCGGUGGAGGGGGGUGGCAACCUUGGAAAACCCUUGAAUAAAACGGCUAUAAUAGCCGGCAAAACCAAGAAAAGACCGCACUUGCUUGACGGUUGAUGGCAGAGCCCAGUCCCGGACCACUGCUGCCUUUUCUGGGUCAGUUGCCACCCCCUCACGGCUAACGAUAUGCCCUAGAUAGGUCACCUUCUUCUGGAACAGGCGGCACUUGCGUGGUUGCAACUUCAAACAGUGCUCAUUCAAGCGGCCGAACACCUGUUCCAGAUGCUGUAGGUGGGCAGAAAAGUCAGGCGAGUAGACAAUUAUGUCAUCAAGAUAGAUUAGCAGAUGCUCAUACACCUGGUUCCCUAAGCAGCGUUGCAUGAGCCUCUGGAAUGUUGCCAGGGCAUUACAGAGGCCAAAUGGCAUUCUAUCGAACUGGUAGAGGCCAAAUGGCGUGGUAAAGGCAGUCUUCUCUUGAUCUUCCGGCGCCACCUCCACCUGCCAGUAACCACAAGCCAAAUCGAGCGUUGAAUACCACUCAGCCUUCGAGAGGCUGGUCAGUGACUCUUCAAUGCGUGGCAGAGGAAAGGAGUCUUUGUGGGUAACGGCGUUGAGCUUGCGGUAGUCCACGCAGAAUCUCCAGGAUCCAUCCUUUUUCCUGGCGAGCACCACCGGGGCAGCCCACGGGCUCGAGCUUUCUCUGACCACGCCAUUGUCCAGUGAAGGGGAAACGAUACCGUCAUCGCACACACCAUAUAACUGUUUGCAUUAGUCUAACACAUAUAUAGUCUAACACAUACAUAUGGUACAGGUUUUCGUAGGCACCGUCUAACUGUUUGCAUUAGGCUAACACACGUAAUAUAAUUAAUCAGGAAAUGUGUAUCAUUUUCAUAUUUACGGUAGGACUACACUACUAAUAUAAAAUAAAUAGCACAUCAUAGUUUAAUGAGAAGAAAUAGAGAUACACAAUGCCGUCUUAUCACAAGAGUGACGCACAUACUCGGGGAAUCUGCUCUCAGCAAAACUCCAAGGACAAAGCGUUUUGUCCUAAAACAAGCACCACCAGCCCGGACAGCAAAGUUGAUAGCGGGCGUCCCAAUCCGCGCACGAACCCAACCGCCCAAAACCGGCCACAGCGGGGGCGGCCCCAAAGCAACGCCCAGAAACGCCUUCGACGAGACCCGCGUCAGCAAAGACUUCAAAAAGACUGGACACUGAGAUAAGACAGAUUUUCUUCUGCUCGGAAACAUGUAGCCUUGUUUUGGAUCCAGAAUUGUCCCUCCGUCGUCUGUUUUUGCCUUGUUUUUGACCAUUGUCGACGAAUAAAUUGUCAACCUGUUUUCGGCGAGUGUUCUUCAAGCUUUUGAAACAUGGAGUCAGUGUGCAAAGGGUUAACACAGGAACGCGCGAGUUUAGCUUCCUCCUGGCCUGGCUCCGCUCGGAGGGGUCGGGUGGCGGAGCACAGUUCCGUUCUGUUGCCGGCCUCCCCGUGCGCUCUGGGCUGGGAGGACUAAAUUCCUUCACCAGCAUACCCUGUAACAAAGCCCUUAAUUCAGAAUAAAGGUUAGGAGCUACGGGACGACACCGCUCUCUGAUCGGUGGUGCCAGGCCAGUCGGGAUCGGGUGAGUGAUGAUAGAAGUCCUCCCGAAGUCUUCGUCAUGUGCAGCGAACACGUGCGACCAUCUCCGCAGCAAAGCGUCCAGUCGUGCUUGCUGGUCCUCAUUCAGGCCGUCUCCCUGUAGAGCCAGGGCUGGGUGGUCCUCACUAUGGGCCUGCCCCGUAUGUUGAACGCUCACCUCCAUUGCAUGGGGGCUGGUGCUGUGCAAUGCGAGGGUCGUCCUCCCCCUUAUCUCUUGCUGGGCAAUUUGAGUCACCGUGGCCAAGGGGCGCCGCUGCGGUAGCUCUAGGGGGAAGGGGUUCGGAUUGCAGACGCGCACAGGGACUGUACCGUUUCGUGUCCAGACCAGCGCCCUGGCCACCCGCCACUCUCGGUCAUGCUGCGCCAUAUCUUCCACUAGCACCAUACAAUCAGCCAAGCCUGUGGCUUGCGGUACCUGGGCCCAGACGAUGGUAUCUGUGCCGGAGGGCAGCACCACUGGGGGUUGUCGUUGCAGUCUGGCCACUCCCUGCAAUUCCACCUGCGUAGUGGAAGCUCCCACCCUCCGGCAGGCUAAGAAGGCUGCAUCCCAGGACUUCCCUGCCGCAGGGGUGAAAAGGGAUUUAAAAGCGGUGGCUCCUGGGUGACUACCCUGGCUAAUCUUAGUCCAGCACUCGCCAAUUACAUUCAUCCCCAAAAGUCCGAACUCCGUAUUUAUACAUGUAUCAGUAACAAUGAUAACCCCCUUUUUAACUUCAAUUCCCCCAAUUAUAAAAUCAAGCUCGGCAUAGCCAACGACAGGGACAGCCCAUUGGCUGCUCUUAAGUUCAUCCACGAUAUCCGAUCGGGGCCCUCUAGGAGUUAGUUUCCAAAGUGACGGUGGAAAAGUGCUUGACUAAUGAGUGUAGCCUGCGAGCCGGUAUCCAGAACGCAUGGAAUGACCUUACCCUGGAUGGUCGUCACAAUCUCGGGGGAUCCUCCUAAGACGGCUAACCUUUCUGCGGGCGCUGUCAGGGGAUCCUCCCGGUUCACUGGCCCUGUUGUGACCGGGAAGGCCGAAAAUCCUGUUGUGAGCGGCGACGGGGGCAAAAGCGUUGAAUAUGCCCUGCUUCACCACAAUCGCGGCAGAUUGCCCGGCCCUGGCUGUCCCAUUGAUAGUAGGAGUGUCUGAUAGGGGCUGAUCCUGAGCGUGAACGAUGGUGAUUUCCAGAUUGCGGGCGCCAGGGUGGUUGAGGGGCUGUAGCGGCUGUUGGGGUUGCAGCAAGUGGAGACUCCCUCAGCUGUUCCCGCAGCUCUUCUAUCAAAGAUUUACUCAGGUGUGUCACCUGCUCUUUUAGCUCCUGGCGCAGCUCGUUACGCAACUCCUCCUUCAUCUGCUGCCAGUCUGGGGUUGGUGGUGGAGCUCCCUUGUGGCCAGGAGUGAAGACCGGGCACACCAACGCCUCUUCGGACCCACCGAGCUCUUGCUCCAGAGCCCUUGCCUCCCGACAAGCCUCCGCGAAUGUGGUCGAUGGAUUCCUCCGGAGUUGCCUCUGUAGCUCCUGUUUCACUGGACCAGGCCUCAGGCCCAGGACAAACUGGGUUCGUAGCAGCUCGUCGUCAUCCCCAGCUUCCAGCGGUUCCAUGGUCCUCCACCGAUGGUUCAAUUCCCUCAGUCGAAGGGUGAACGCUAUCAGUUCUUCACCAGGUUCUUGUUUGCAGUGGAAAAACUGUGCUCGAAGCUGGGCUAAUGGCUGGGGCCCCCCAUACAGUUUCUCCAACUCUGCCAGGAUCUUUGCCCCCGUGUUACGGACUCCCACAGGUAAUAGCAGCACUUCCCUCUUAGCUUCCCCCUCUAAAGCUCCCAUUACAAAAUCUACUUUUUGUUGUACAUUUAGUCCUUGGGCUCGAAUGCAUGCCUCUAUCUGUGCCCUCCAUUCCCCAAAUUUAGCAGCGUCACCGUUAAACCUCGGAACCCAGGGUGCCCCCAUGAACCAUGGCAUCAUUGCAGUCAUUACUUGCGGCUGCCUAGCUUCAUUCGCCUCCAUACUGCUUUGUAUUCAGGGGGUCUUGUAACAAAAAGCAGGUUAGAUGCGCCCCUGGAAUGCAGUGAAUGGAGACUGGAGAAGGGCUUUGCUUUAUCGACACAAAGUAAUUUAUUUAAAAAAAGUCAAGAGAAAAAUAAUAAUAAAAAAAAAAAAAAGGGGUGCGUGGAUCGUGGCUUGGACAGGCUAUGUGUGUGGUUUGGACCCCCCCGGUCGGUCGGCACUGCUUUUGGGCACAGCACUGCAAUCCAAAACACUUCAAACAAAAGUUCACGCAAGCAGGCUUUAGAGGCGCUCGAGGAUUUAGCCCACAACUUCACACUGCGGCCACUUGUGGAUAGCCAGGAGCCACCCCAAAAACUUUUUAAAAAAACAGUUAAGAGCAGUCACUUAAAACAGUGUAUAAAAUGAAAACUUUUUGCUCACCCCCCUGCAAAAAAAAUGUGCCGUUCGUGCUUGCUGGCGCUUUUUUUUCUUUAUGGCCAGUCUGGGAUUGUCUUUAAAGGAAGGGGGGGUUCAGGAGAUCUCUCGUGGCAUCGAUCGAUGUUGUGGCCGACGGUGACGUGGGCGGUGGCGUUUUCACGUCGCGAUGUGCACCUCCACCCCUGGCAGGUGCAGACAACAGUGGGUUAAUCGGCGUUGUAUUUGGCUGACCUGGGUUCGUUGCUCUCGUUUUGCGCGGCGUGAUGUCAAGCUUUUUCCUUAAUGUGGCGUGCGGGCCAGUCCUCCCUUCUCUUCCUUUCUCUCGCUCGUGUCUUCUGGCUGAGGCGUAUUUAUGUCCCCUUCACAUUCCUCCCCACCAAUCCGCAUCGCAUGGCACUGAUUGAGCGUGAUCGGGAACACCUGGGGGGAAAGACUGCAUACACGUUCGCCGGCCACGCCCACCCGCUCUCGGCUGUCAGCCCGCUGCCUCCAUCGUUACAUAUCUAUCUCCAUAUUUCCAUCAUUUCUUGUCCUUUUUCAAAACCGAAAGCAGCACAAAAGACUACAUAUCCCAACAGCCGUUCUGAUGUCAAGAAGGACGAACCGAAUGUGAUCAUUUUUAAUAAAUUUCCGAACGAGGAGCCAACUAAUGAAAGGGAGGCAUGCGACGCAAGCAAUGGCCGCUUGGUUUGAGUGAGCGACUUUGAAACGUGCAGAAUGAAUAUAAAACUACAUUUAGCGCAAGCUAAUGCAUUAUUUCAUUAACUCAAGGAAGAAGAUGAGCCGUAUUUGUCGUUGAUUUCCUUGGAUGAGUCGGCGUCUCGGCGAGUAGAAGUGACAGCAGCGCGCAAACGGCAUAAGAGUAGGCUGUGUGACGUUGUGUGUGACGCAGCUCCGUGACCUGUUCAAGCUUUAUUGAGUGCGCAAAAAAAAAAAAAAACUUUAUUGGGUCGCAUGCCUGAACAUUUUGAAUUGAACUGAACUACUUGUCAAUAUUUUUUUAAAUACUUUUUUUCAAUGUUAUAAAUAUUUUUUCUUUACUAUAAUCUUUUCCAUUUUUAUGUAGAUGCGUGUUCGAGAAGCUUGAUUGCAUGUAGGUAUAUACUUUUGAUAAGGUGAUGGGUACAACACCUAACUUCACAAAGAGAUAUCCUCCAAACCCUUUUUGUGUUAGAUGAUAUAUAUGAUUUUUUUCUCACUAUUUUGCACUGUAUAGACCCUACCCACGUGACGUCACAACUCCGCUCUCCUGACUGGUGCCGCCCACUUGUCCGUCAACACAUCGUGUUGACCUGUUACGGCUACGUACAUUCCUCCUAUUUACGGCGUGUUUUUCUGCUCGUUAACAUUAAUAAUCAAAAUGGUGAAGGCGUGUGUGGCGGUCGGUUGCAAUAACAGAGAAGAUAGACGGAGAGACUUGAAGUUCUACCGGAUUCCGAGAGACACGGAGAGGAGAGAGCGAGAUGGGCUGCUGCAUUUCGACGAGAAAACUGGGCUCCAAACGAUUACCACAGAUUAUGUAGUAGUCAUUUUAUAUCUGGUAAGAUGCAUUUAAUAUAUAUUUAGAGGGUUUUGGGCUGACAACCACAAUUAAGAUCAUUGCUAGGCUAAUCGCCGACAGCAUACACGUAGGUAUGUAGUGAGAGUGCUAUCGCUAAACCAUAUAAACAUUAAAAGCCCUAGCUCCAUUGACAAAUGACAUGAAAUACAUUAGACUUGACAGUGGAUGUUAGCAAGAACAAAACAUUUUUAAUUGAAAAUUUCAUAACUCACCUUCCCGAGCACGAGAUUCCUGCCGAAUUUUCGUGUACGAGGACCUGUUUCAUCCAACCAGCAACGUAGCAUUUAUAAGCCUCCAAGCUCUUAAAGUUUUUCAAACUUUCGUGAGAAUAGGCUGAUUUUGUGUGGACAAGCUAGUUGUAAAUAUCAGGGUCAGGCAGAGACGGCGAAGGCAGCCGGUCAAAAAUCAUCGAUUUAGGCAUCAAAUAUGGAUCUGGCGACUGUAUAGAACGAAGCUUUUCCACAUAACGCCUUUUAUGCAACACAUCCAGUGAGAUUACGGCAUCAGAAAGCACCGGGUCUUCCAUGAAAUGCAUUUUAAAUUCCUCGAUCAAUUGAAACCAAUGCUAAUACAGAGACAAAAUGACGGACAAGUGGGCGGAACCAUACAGCGAGCACGUGGUUUUGUGACGUCGGUGGGUAGGGUAUAUAGAUGCCUCUUAAUUGUACUUUGUGGUGACCCUUUGUUGACAUAAUUCACCCACCUUAAUUGUGUGUCUGAUUGGCCGAGCGCGUUACCGGCUGCGUCACAGUCACGUGACUAGACAUUAUAAAGAGCCGCGCGCGUUCCGGUUCAAGAGAGAGUUCACGAGAGUUACAGAGCUGGAUACAGCAAUUGAGCAAUAAAGACUCUUAACAAGAAACCCGCUUCACUGGUGACCCCGACAGCCUCGCUGAAGUCUCCGAGGCAUAUUUGAACACUUUAUUGCAAUGGCGGACGCUAGCUUUUUCGAGCUGGCAACGUUCAACGAGUCUUCUGCGGCCGCGUGGUUCGCUAACGCGGAGGAGCAGUUCGUCCUCCGUGGUGUUUCCGACGACACCAUGUGCUUCUACCACGUGGUGGCCGCGCUCCGGUACUCAACGGCGGUUAAAGCACAGCGCUUCGUGGUUUAUCCGCCGAAGGGGGACAAGUAUACGGGACUCAAGGCGCACCUCCUCAGACUUUUUGAACCGUCGUACAAAUCGACUUCCGAGGCGCCCAGGGUGCCCGCCUCGAGAGCCCUGCUGCCCGAGGUUCCCGCCAAAGAUGGCGGCACUUCCGCCCCGGUUCCUCGCAGCCGUGCUUCUGUCCCGGUACCCACGCCACCGCCGCGCGCUUCCGCUCUGGCACAUCCCGACGCCGACGUUGCUGUCUCUCCUCCGGCCCCGCUCUCGCUCGCCUCGGCUCCGUCGCCGCUCUCCGUCGAUGCCGCUGCGCCCGUCCCUGGCUUUCCCGGCUGCGGCGCCGUUGCGCCCGCCUGCGGCCU